rnacentral:lncRNA from 1 species
UUUUCACCUACUUCGAAGUGAAAAUCCUUACGCUUUGGAUCCGCGUAACUCUUCUGCCUAUCUCGGGCAGCUUUGAGACGGUCUCGAAUCUGGACAAUCUUGUCCGUCGUCUCGAAGACUAUCUCUGGUCCUGAUAAUUGGACAUCUCCAACUUCCGCCCAACAAACAGGCGAUCUACACUUUCUACCGUAUAAUGCCUCGAAAGGCGCAGCCUUAUGCUGGUAUGGUAGCUAUUGUUGUAGGAGAAUUCGAUUAAUGGUAGGUUCUUAUCCCAACUACCACCCAAAUCGAUAGCACAUGCACGUAGCAUGUCUUCCAACGUUUGAAUAGUACGCUCACUCUGACCGUCUGUCUGAGGAUGGUAAGCCGUACUAAAAUUCAAACGUGUGCCCAAAGAUUGCUGGAAGCUUUUCCAGAAAUGAGACGUGUAUCUAGUAUCUCGGUCAGAGAUAAUAGACACAGGUAUGCCAUGUAAGGCUACAAUCUUAUCAACGUAUAACUGGGCUAACAUGUCGGAGCUAUAAGUCUCCUUGAUGGGCUGUUGUAGCAAGCCUGACGGCUUUUGAUGCUCAGCUUUGACUUGCGCACAAGUCAAGCAUUUGGCUACAUAAGCGGCUACAGACUUUUUC